rnacentral:misc_RNA from 1 species
GAUGAAAACGCAGCGAAAUGCGAUAAGUAAUGUGAAUUGCAGAAUUCAGUGAAUCAUCGAAUCUUUGAACGCACAUUGCGCCCUCUGGUAUUCCGGGGGGCAUGCCUGUUCGAGCGUCAUUACAACCCUCAAGCUUUGCUUGGUAUUGGACAUUGCCAGUUUCUGGCAGGUCUUAAAAUCAGUGGCGGUGCCAUUUGGCUUCAAGCGUAGUAAUUCUUCUCGCUUUGGAGAUCCAGGUGGUUACUUGCCAAUAACCCCCAAUUUUUUCAGGUUGACCUCGGAUCAGGUAGGGAUACCCGCUGAACUUAAGCAUAUCAAUAAGCGGAGGA